rnacentral:rRNA from 1 species
UACGGAGGGUGCAAGCGUUAUCCGGAUUCACUGGGGUUAAAGGGUGCGUAGGUGGGUUGGUAAGUCAGUGGUGAAAUCUCCGGGCUUAACUCGGAAACUGCCGUUGAUACUAUCAAUCUUGAAUCUCGUGGAGGUAAGCGGAAUAUGUCAUGUAGCGGUGAAAUGCUUAGAUAUGACAUAGAACACCGAUAGCGAAGGCAGCUUGCUACACGAGUAUUGACACUGAGGCACGAAAGCGUGGGGAUCAAACAGG